rnacentral:rRNA from 2 species
UACGGAGGGUGCAAACGUUGCUCGGAAUCAUUGGGCGUAAAGCGCACGUAGGCGGUCCAGUAAGUCGGGUGUGAAAGCCCUCGGCUCAACCGAGGAAGUGCAUUCGAAACUACUGAACUUGAGUAUGGAAGAGGGUCGCGGAAUUCCCGGUGUAGAGGUGAAAUUCGUAGAUAUCGGGAGGAACACCAGUGGCGAAGGCGGCGACCUGGGCCAAUACUGACGCUGAGGUGCGAAAGCGUGGGGAGCAAACAGG